CACGUACUGUGCAAACGUUAUUCGGAAUCACUGGGCUUAAAGGGUAUGUAGGCGGUUUGGAAAGUCAGAUGUGAAAUGCCACAGCUCAACUGUGGCACUGCGUUUGAAACUUCCAGGCUAGAGUAUUCCAGAGGUAUGCGGAACUUAUGGUGGAGCGGUGAAAUGCGUUGAUAUCAUGGGGAACACCGGAGGCGAAGGCGGCAUACUGGGGGAUAACUGACGCUGAGAUACGAAAGCCAGGGUAGCGAAC
rnacentral:rRNA from 1 species